rnacentral:rRNA from 1 species
AUUGAACGCUGGCGGCAUGCUUUACACAUGCAAGUCGAACGGCAGCGCAGUCUUCGCUCUCUCGGAGAGGGGCGAACGGGCGAAUAAUGCAUCGGAACUUCCCCAUUCGCUGUGGAUAGCCCGGCAAAAUCGGGAUAAUUACGGCAAUACCCCUUAGGGCGUACGCGUGGAAGCAAGAGAUCUCGGGCUCUUGCGCGCUCGGAUGUCCGGAUGUCGGAUUAGCUAGUUGGCGGGGUAAAGGCGCACCAAGGCGACGAUCCGUAGCUGGUCUGAGAGGACGAACAGCCACACUGGGACUGAGACACGGCCCAGACUCCUACGGGAGGCAGCAGUGGGGAAUUUUGGACAAUGGGGGCAAGCCUGAUCCAGCCAUGCCGCGUGGGGGAAGAAGGCCUUCGGGUUGUAAAGCGCUUUUGUUGGGGAAGAAAACCUGCGGGCUAAUACCCCGGUGGGAUGACGGUACCGGAAGAAUAAGCACCGGCUAACUACGUG